rnacentral:rRNA from 1 species
CGAGAACGCUUCAGCUUGCUGAAGCUAGUAAAGUGGCGCACGGGUGAGUAACGCGUGGGUAAUCUACCUCCAAAUUGGGGAUAACAUUGCGAAAGCGAUGCUAAUACCGAAUGAUAUCUCAAAAACUUCGGUUUUUGAGAUCAAAGGUGGCCGCUCCAUGGAAGCUACUGUUAGGAGAUGAGCCCGCGUACCAUUAGCUUGUUGGUAGGGUAAUGGCUUACCAAGGCAACGAUGGUUAGCUGGUCUGAGAGGAUGAUCAGCCACACUGGAACUGACACACGGUCCAGACUCCUACGGGAGGCAGCAGUGAGGAAUUUUGCGCAAUGGGGGAAACCCUGACGCAGCAACGCCGCGUGAGUGAUGAAGGCCUUCGGGUCGUAAAGCUCUGUCAAGUGGGAAGAACCUGCCCUGUGCUAAUAUCACCGGGCACUGACGGUACCACUGAAGGAAGCACCGGCUAACUCCGUGCCAGCAGCCGCGGUAACACGGGGGGUGCAAGCGUUAUUCGGAAUCACUGGGCGUAAAGAGCGCGUAGGCGGUCUCUUAAGUCAGAUGUGAAAGCCCGGGGCUCAACCCCGGAAGUGCAUUUGAAACGAAGGGACUUGAGUAUGGGAGAGGGAAGUGGAAUUCCUGGUGUAGCGGUGAAAUGCGUAGAUAUCAGGAGGAACACCGGUGGCGAUGGCGACUUCCUGGACCAAUACUGACGCUGAGGCGCGAAGGCGUGGGGAGCAAACAGGAUUAGAUACCCUGGUAGUCCACGCAGUAAACGUUGAACACUAUGUGUAGCGGGUAUUGACCCCUGCUGUGCCGCAGCUAACGCAUUAAGUGUUCCGCCUGGGG